CAGUCGCCGCGGUAAUACGUAGGGUGCGAGCGUUAAUCGGAAUUACGGGGCGUAAAGCGCACGUAGGCGGAUCAGUCAGUCAGGGGUGAAAUCCCGGGGCUCAACCCUGGAACUGCCUUUGAUACUGCUGGUCUUGAGGUCGAGAGAGGUGAGUGGAAUUCCGAGUGUAGAGGUGAAAUUCGUAGAUAUUCGGAGGAAUACCAGUGGCGAAGGCGGCUCACUGGCUCGAUACUGACGCUGAGGUGCGAAAGCGUGGGGAGCAAACAGGAUUAGAUACCCGGGUAGUCCCUGUCUCUUAUAC
rnacentral:rRNA from 1 species